UACGGAGGGGGCGAGCGUUUAUUCGGAAUUAUUGGGCGUAAAGGGCGCGUAGGCGGCUCGAUAAGUCAAAGGUGAAAUCCCUCGGCUCAACUGAGGAACUGCCUUUGAAACUGUCGAGCUUGAGUCCGGGAGGGGGUAGCGGAAUUCCCCAGUGUAGCGGUGAAAUGCGUAGAUAUUGGGAGGAACACCAGUGGCGAAGGCGGCUACCUGGACCGGAACUGACGCUGAGGCGCGAAAGCGUGGGUAGCAAACAGG
rnacentral:rRNA from 1 species